rnacentral:rRNA from 1 species
UACAGAGGGGGCAAGCGUUGUUCGGAAUUACUGGGCGUAAAGGGCGCGUAGGUGGCGGCCCAAGUCCAUGGUGAAAGCUCGAUGCUCAACAUCGAGUCGGCCACGGAUACUGGGUUGCUCGAGCACUGUAGGGGCAGAUGGAAUUCCGGGUGUAGCGGUGGAAUGCGUAGAGAUCAUUUGGAACGCCAAAGGCGAAAGCAGGCUGCUGGGAGUGAUCUGACACUGAGACGCGAAAGCCAGGGGAGCAAACGGG